AAACCUCAAAGAAAUUUCAAACAAACAAUAAGAAUUCUUAAAAAAAUAUUAAAAUGAUCACAAAUAUCACUCAAAUACAUCUCAAUUCAAUCUUAAUUUAAUUUUAGUUAAAAUCCUAUUGAAUUUCAUUCAAACUUUAGGCCAAAACUAAUUAAAUCUUAAACCUUAAGAAAAUCUUAAAUCCUAAAUCCUAAAUCAAAUCCUAAAUCCUUAAUCAAAUCCUAAACAAACCUUAAACCAAAUUCCAACCAAAUCCUAAACCCUAAACAAACCUUAAACCAAAUCCCAACUAAAUCCUAAAUCCUAAAUCAAUCCCUAAUCAAAUCCUAAACCCUCAUUCAAACCCUAACUAAAUCCUAACCAAAUCCUAAUCCAAAUCCUAAAUUAAAUCCUUAUCAAAUCCUAAACCAAACCCUAACCAAACCCUAAUCCUAAUCCUAACCCUAAACCAAACCCUAAACCAAAUCCUAGUAAUUCCUACAAUAGAU
rnacentral:lncRNA from 1 species